ensembl:lncRNA
CCACAGAAAGAAGAUAUGGGUAGAAAAAGGUCAAGGGUCACGUGAGUUGAGUUAAAUUGAGAAGCAUAUUGGGUUAAGAGAAAUUCCCAGGAGAAUAAGUUAAGAAAAUCUUAUAUCAGUGCCAGGAGAGGUCACAUUAAUAGGAACGAUGGACCCUAGAGUCAAAGAGAGGUGGGGUUGGGGAGGAUGCAAAGAUAAGGAUAAGACUCGUGACUUCUUAUCCUUAGUCAGAGUGUAGAGGACAGCAAGCCAGGUGGUCCUUGCAAGCUGUUUUGGCCGUCAGAGCCCAUCUCAUCUGUUCUUGAAGCGUCAGUGGUGAGAUAUUGGAUGUGACAUCUUACUGGAACAGUAGGAUGAAUUCUGAUUUCAUGUACCUUCGCCCAACUUUGAGCUCUCCGGCUGCACUUGGAGGCUCAGGCUUCCAAGAUACAGGAAAUAUAGACGAGCACAUUUUCAAAGUUCUCACAACACGGAGAGAGCCGACUCAGCAGUCAUCCAGGGUCCAACUCACUCUGAAUGGGCAAUUUUCCCAGGCCCUGAAGCGACAUCUGGAAUUGGACAUAAAAGCUCAGCCUCCUCUGACAGGAUUCCAGGAGAUAAGGCUGGAAACUCUCCCCUCUAGUCAGAGUUGGGAUCAUCCACCACCACAGUCCACCCCUGGUGCCUUCGUCUUGGAAAGACAGUGGAAAUCACCUAUGGCGUUUCCCAGAGCAGAGGAUGACUGUGAUGGCUGGUCCUGGAAGAGCAGAGAGCCAGAGGCCCAGGGGGUAAGGGUGGAGGGAAGGAGCAGCCGACGGGUCACUGCAUGACAGCCCAGGCCCGCAGGAGGCUGACAGCUGUCAGGGCAAUCCAGAGAUUGUUGUCCUGAGGCUGAUGGCCGCAGACAGCACAUCCCUCCUUGCCUUAUUCAAGAGGACUGCCUGGGUAUUUUGAUAUUCACUUGCUACUUUUGGUUCCAUUAGCCUCUGUAUGUCUCUCCAUAGCAGUCUUGUCUCUGGGAUAAUUAACCACCAGGGCAGAAUGUGGCCACUCCAGGCAACUAAACUGGCAGCCAUCGCUGCAGAUCUUUGCAAGUCCACUUUCUUCUGGGCAUUCCAGUUUGAGCCCAAACACCAGCCCUAAUGCUGCCUUCACCUUGUGCCCCAGACAACACAAUAAGUCCCUGUUGCCCUAUUCUGCUUUUUUCUUAACAGCAUUUGAGAUAAUCUUACCUUUUGUGUACUUGUUUACUGUUUCUCCAUUCCUCCACUAGGAUAGGGGUCCUGUCCGUUUAGGUCAUUUCUGCAUCCCCAGUGCUCACACCACAGCUUAGGACACAGCGAGUACUUAAUAAAACUCAUGGGAAAAUGCUGAAUGAAGCAGAUACAUUAGGGUUAUUCCUUCUGUCACAGAAUUUUUCUUUUUAAUAGAGUUUAUUUUUUACAUCAGUUUACGUUCACAGAAAAAUUGGGAGGAAGGUACAGAGAUUUCCCAUAUACCCGCUGCCCGCACACAUGCAUAGCCUCCCCCAUUAUCAACAUCCCCCACUGGAGUGGUACAUUUGUUAUAAUUGAUGAACCUACUUUGACACAUCAUAAUCACCCAAAGUUUGUAGUUUACAUUAGAGUUCACUUUUGGUGUUGCAUAUUCUACGGGUUUGGAUAAAUGUAUAAUGAUGUGGAUCCACCAUGACAGUAUCAUACAGAGUAGUUUCACUGCCCUAGAAAUCCUCUGUGCUCUGUCUAUCCAUCGCUCUCUCCCCUCUAACCCUGGCAACCACUGAUCUUCUCAUUGUCUGCAUACUUUUGCUCUUUCCAGAAUGUCAUAUCAUUUAGUACACGUCCUUUUCAGAUGGGCUUCUUUCAGUUAACCAUAUGUAUUUAAGGUUCCUUCAUGUCUUUUCAUGCUGUGAUAGCUCAUUUCUUUUUAGCACUGAAUAUUAUUCCAGUCUGAGGGACCACAGUUUCUUCAUGCAUUCACCUACUGAAGGACAUCUAGGCUGCUCCUAAGUUUUAGCAAUUAUGAGUAAAGCUGCUAGAAACAUCCGUGUGCAGGUGUUUGUUAGCCAUAAGUUUUCAACUCCUUUGGGAAAUACCAAGGGGCACAAUUGCUGGAUCAUAUGGCAAGAGUAUGUUUAGUUUUAUGAGAAACUGCCAAAGCGUCUUCUGAAGUGGCUGAACCAUUUUGCAUUCCCACCAGAAAGGAAUGAGAGUUCCUGUUGCUCCACGUCCUUCCCAGCAUUCCGUGUUGUAAAUGUUCUUGAUUUUGGCCAUUUUAAUAGGCGUGAAGUGGAAUCUCCUUGUUAUUUUAAUUUGCAUUUUCCCCGUAACUUACGAUUUGGAGCAUCUUUUCGUAUGCUUCCUUGACAUCUGCGUGUCUUCUUUGGUAAGACGUCUGUUAAGGUCUUUGGCUGAUUUAUAAAGCAGAUUAUUUGUUUUCUUAUUGUUGAGCGUAAGAGUUCUUUGUAUAUUUUGGACAAGAAUCCUUUAUUAGAUGAGUCUUUUGCAGAUAUUUUUUCCCAAAACUGGACUUUCAAGUUUCUUUUAAAUUAACGUUUGCAGAGUAUGAGACAUUAUGCUUGAUUUUCUCAGUGAUGUCAAUAACACAGCAAGGUAGAUACUAAUAUAAGUCACAGGCAAGCAAAGGGCCUGUCCCAGGCCAUAUAGCUUUAUUGAUGUAAGCAGUUUCCUUUUAGAAAGACACAAACAGCUCAUCUGUUUUAGUAAAUUCUAGUUCCUUCAGUGACAUACUUGAACACCUCCUGUCUUU